rnacentral:rRNA from 1 species
UGGCGGACGGGUGAGUAACGCGUAAAGAACUUGCCCUUUAGACUGGGAUAACAGAGGGAAACUUCUGAUAAUACUGGAUAAGUUAGUAUAUCGCAUGAUAUGCAAAUGAAAGCUACGGCACUAAAGGAGAGCUUUGCGUCCUAUUAGCUAGUUGGUAAGGUAAGAGCUUACCAAGGCGAUGAUAGAUAGCCGGCCUGAGAGGGUGGACGGCCACAAGGGGACUGAGAUACGGCCCUUACUCCUACGGGAGGCAGCAGGU